UACGGAGGGAGCUAGCGUUGUUCGGAUAUACUGGGCGUAAAGCGCACGUAGGCGGCGCCGUAAGUCAGGGGUGAAAUCCCGGAGCUCAACUCCGGAACUGCCCUUGAAACUGCAGUGCUAGAAUCUUGGAGAGGCGAGUGGAAUUCCAGGUGUAGCGGUGAAAUGCGUAGAUAUCUGGAGGAAUACCGGUGGCGAAGGCGGCAUCCUGGACCGACAUUGACGCUGAGGAGCGAAAGCUAGGGGAGCAAACGGG
rnacentral:rRNA from 1 species